UACGUAGGGUGCAAGCGUUGUCCGGAAUUAUUGGGCGUAAAGAGCUCGUAGGCGGUGUGUCGCGUCGGCCGUGAAAACCUGCAGCUUAACUGUGGGCUUGCGGUCGAUACGGGCAUCACUGGAGUUCGGCAGGGGAGACUGGAAUUCCUGGUGUAGCGGUGAAAUGCGCAGAUAUCAGGAGGAACACCGGUGGCGAAGGCGGGUCUCUGGGCCAUUACUGACGCUGAGGAGCGAAAGCGUGGGGAGCGAACAGG
rnacentral:rRNA from 1 species